GGUAGCAGAUCACCCAGAGAAGCACUCCCGCUACAGUAGCCAGGCAUGGCUGGACUGGACAAAGUGGAGGAUGAGGUGUAUGAGAGGAUACAGGAGAGGACAGCAAAGGUUACACAGAUGCCCAUAGAGUUGAUACGUCUCAGUGAUGUACAGGUUGUAAGAUACGGCAUUGACGGCCACUACAACGCCCACACAGACUCUUCUCCACUGGACGAACAUGUGCCGUGCUGUCAGGAGGGGAACAGGAGAAAGUGCAGAAUCUGCAGGU